ensembl:lncRNA
ACCCGGUUUUCUCGAAGCAGCAAGUGACUGACAAUGGAGCACGAUUAAUCUACAUCAGGAACAUCUCGCCAGGCGAGUCCCGGCAUCUCAGAGAAGCUUUGAAAAAAAUGGAUUGUGUAAGAAACUACCUGCCUCUUCUCAACAAGGUGUUUAUCGAAUUUCAGUCUCUUCGUGAUGCUGAUCGCCUUGGCGUUUGGUACAGCCUUCUAAAACGGCCCACCGGCCACAAAUUGUCAAGGCUGAAAAUACCACAGUGUGGAUGUACCUCACUGCAAAGCCCAAUCUCAAGGUUCUACGUUCUCCACCAUCAUGUUGA